rnacentral:rRNA from 1 species
UACGGGGGGAGCAAGCGUUGUUCGGAUUUACUGGGCGUAAAGGGCGCGUAGGCGGCCAGCGCAAGUCAGUUGUGAAAUCUCCGGGCUUAACUCGGAACGGUCAACUGAUACUGCGCGGCUAGAGUGCAGAAGGGGCAACUGGAAUUCUCGGUGUAGCGGUGAAAUGCGUAGAUAUCGAGAGGAACACCUGCGGCGAAGGCGGGUUGCUGGGCUGACACUGACGCUGAUGCGCGGAAGCCAGGGGAGCGAACGGG